rnacentral:rRNA from 1 species
AACGAACGCUGGCGGCAGGCUUAACACAUGCAAGUCGAACGCGUGUAGCAAUACACGAGUGGCGCACGGGUGAGUAACGCGUGGAUAUCUGCCUUUUGGUUCGGAAUAACUCCGGGAAACUGGAGCUAAUACCGGAUGGUUCCUACGGGAUAAAGAUUUAUCGCCAAAAGAUGAGUCCGCGUACGAUUAGCUAGUUGGUGAGGUAAUGGCUCACCAAGGCGACGAUCGUUAGCUGGUCUGAGAGGACGAUCAGCCACACUGGGACUGAGACACGGCCCAGACUCCUACGGGAGGCAGCAGUGGGGAAUAUUGGACAAUGGGCGAAAGCCUGAUCCAGCAAUGCCGCGUGAGUGAUGAAGGCCCUAGGGUUGUAAAGCUCUUUUACCAGGGAUGAUAAUGACAGUACCUGGAGAAUAAGCUUCGGCUAACUCCGUGCCAGCAGCCGCGGUAAU